rnacentral:misc_RNA from 1 species
UAACUCAAGAGAGGAGUAAAAGAUCUAUAAAAAGUUAGAAAAGUUUAUAUGGGAAAUUUGAGAGAAAAUGAGAGACAACAUCUAAAAGCACUCAAGACUAAUAAAAAACGAUGAGAAAUAGUUGUUAACCCCCAUUUGACUUAAAAUAAUGAGAUAAUGGACCAUUACCGUUACUUAACGGUAAAUAACGGUAUUACCAUUAAGUAAUGGGUGUAAGGGCCGUUAUAGGAGCGAAUUUUCUUAUGCCUUUAAAUAAUGAUGCCACAGUUAAUUGGAGGGCAAAAAAACAUGUAAAUAUCGGAUGUUAUGUAACAUAAUGGCCUUUAUUUUAAAACCAUGGUCUUCUAUUAUUAAUUGAUAUUAAAAAAAUUUAAUGUUUUCCUCCUUGAUGUUUGUCCCUUAAACAUCAACUUGCCAAUUUAAUCCUUUUGUACUUGCAAGCUUCUUUAGGAAUUGUGUAGGUUUAAGUAUUUUGUUGCAGACUACUAAGCUUAAAUUGAGGAAAGAUGGGAUUCAUGGUAUUGGUAAAAAUGGAAAUCCUGGACUGUGAAGCAGGGAAACUCCAAUCAAUGGGGUUUCCCCAUUUGGCAAACGUUUUCGAGACGAAAAUAGCAAGACGCGCCCAUGACACGUUUUGGGACCGUGUUUGGAAAAAUCAAAAGAUGGAAAAGCAAUUUCGAUAUUUCCAACGGCCGGAGAUGGCUUUUAGCAAAUGGUUAGCGUUUGUUAAUACUCCCUGCAAAAUCCAUCAUGAAGUUGCCUAAAGCCACUGUUAAUCCCAUCUUUUCUCGUGCUUCUGCUUGCUGGAUCGAUCAACUGCUUCACUGGCAUCGUAAAGUGGACUGAGUCUCAUCGGUGAUGUUCAGGUAGAGGAGUUGACAAGGAGAGGAAGACAUGGGAGAGAAAAGGGUGGUUCUAUGUACUUUUUUGAAUUUUUAUUGGUCCUUAGUUUGUUUCUUUUUUAAUUUCUUUUCUUUUCUUA